rnacentral:lncRNA from 1 species
GAGGAGGACCCAGAACAAAGGUGUGCCUGCCCUUAUAUAGACAUCUUAAAUUGCCCACCCUGGAGUCCAAGACCACCCCCAGAAACAUCAUACAUACAUCACAGAAGGGGUGUAGCCCAAGACCACCCCCCAGAUACAUCAUACCUACAUCACAGAAAAGGCGGUCUACAACAGAAAUCUGAGUGCGUUGUGUAUCUCCUGUCUGGCAAGUUACCUGAUUGCAUUAUCUG